UGUGUCAGCAAUAGUGUGGCCAGCAGGACCAGGGCAAUGAUUGUCCUUCUGUGCUUGGCACUGGUGAGGCUGCACCUCAGAUCCUGUGCUCAGUUCCAGGCCCAUGAGUCACAGUGGGACAGACAUUUAGGGGCUGAAGCAUGUCCAGAGGAGGACAACGAUGCUGGUAAAGGGUACUCUGGAGUUUGUCUAGAAGGCAACAAACCUGAGCAGUUUGAAUCUGAAUGAACCUGAUUCAGAACCUGUAUUUUGAUUCAGAUCCGCCAAGAACAUAAGAAAACAGGAUUUUUUUUUUUUUGUUCAGAAAAGGACUUACAUAGAAGAGUGGCCUUCAAACCCUGAGAGAUUUAUUCAGCCUGUUGGAACCUCUGUCUGCUCAUUAAGGGAAGUUAUAUCACUUGCAUUCUAAUCCAAAGUUUAGUGAAGUUAAUAACAAAUUUCUGAUGUAUUUUUUAACUCUGAGAAUUAUGAGUGUCAGAAAUUAAAUGCUUGUUUAAUAAUAACAACAAGUUUAAAGAACCCUUUUGCUCCUAAUUAAGUUUUUCUACACUUUAUGAAUUAUUGGUGCAAAAUCAUUCUGAAUAUCAUUAUUAUUUAGUGUUAUUAGCAUAAUUUCCAUGAGGAGGACCAUGUUUUGUGCUUUAAAUAGUGUAUAAUACAUUUGAAAUGAUCAUGUGGUUUUGGAAAGUUGUAAUUUUUUUUUUUCUUUGGAAUUACAUUUUCAAAUGUCACUGUUAGUGGUUCCAAAAUUUCAAAGUUCUUAUGAAGCAAUAGCACAGAGCUGGUUCAGUGUUGGGUUUUUGCUGUUGUUGUUGAUGGUUUU